rnacentral:rRNA from 1 species
AUGAUCAUGGCAACAAUUACCGGCGAGAACCCAAACAUGUCCAUUUUACAAAGAUUGACCACAAGCGAUUUGCCACUGGUGAAAGAAUAUGGUCUGCCUGGAGUUAUUGGUGCACUUUUACUGGCUAUAGUUAUCCCUAUCUUUCUUUCUUCCAUGUUUAGCAAAAAGGUGAAAAAGAGAGCAGUGCAAGUUGAUGUUGGUGGUGAAGCAGGCCUUGCCAUGCGAAACAGUAGAUUUUCCUCUUUAAUUCAAGUUCCAUGGGAGGGUGCCACCACAAUGGCAGCUCUGUUUGAGAUGGCUAGCAAAAAGUACACUCAGCACCGGUGUCUUGGCACAAGAAAACUGAUUAGUAGUGAAUUCAUAGAAGCUGCUGAUGGAAGGAAGUUUGAGAAACUGCACCUUGGUGAAUAUCAGUGGGAUUCCUAUGCAGAGGCAUUUAAACGUGCAUGUAACUUUGCUUCUGGUCUCAUCAAGAUGGGGCACCAGCUAGAUAGUCGUGCUGCUAUCUUUUCUGAUACUAGAGCCGAGUGGAUCAUUGCUGCUCAGGGAUGCUUUCGACAAAAUUUAACUGUUGUAACAAUUUAUGCAUCUCUCGGCGAGGAUGCACUGGUGCAUUCACUGAACGAGACACAGGUUUCCACUCUGAUUUGUGACUCAAAACAACUUAAGAAGCUGCCUGCAGUCAGCUCAAAGUUGCAAAGUCUUAAGCAUGUUAUCUACAUUGAGGAUGAACCUGUUGAGGCUGACACACUUAAUCAACUGAAACACUUGACAACAUUAUCUUUUAAUGCGGUUGAGGAGUUGGGCAAAACAUCACAUGCAGAUGCGAGACUACCAUCAAGCACUGAUACUGCAGUUAUUAUGUAUACAAGUGGAAGUACUGGUCUCCCCAAGGGUGUGAUGAUCACGCAUGGCAACAUGGUGGCCACAAUUGCAGCAGUGAGGACAACCAUUCCAAACCUUGGCACAAGUGAUGUUUAUCUGGCAUACCUUCCGCUGGCUCAUGUUUUUGAACUAGCGGCAGAGUCUGUCAUGUUAGCUUCUGGUGUUGCUAUUGGAUAUGGCUCAGCCUUGACAAUGACCGAUGCAUCAAAUAAGAUAAAGAAGGGGACAAAAGGAGAUGUUUCUGUACUGAAACCUACUCUAAUGAUUUCAGUUCCUGCAAUUCUGGAUCGCAUAAGAGAUGCAGUGUUUAAGAAGGUUGCUGAGAAGGGUGGCAUAACCAAAAAGCUAUUUGAUGUUGCAUAUAAACGAAAUCUUGGAGCAAUCGAAGGGAGUUGGACUGGAUCUUGGGCGCCAGAGAGGUUUAUAUGGAAUAGCAUUAUCUUCAAACCAAUACGUGCGAUGCUUGGAGGGCAUAUAAGAUUUAUUCUUUGUGGUGGCGCACCUCUAUCAAGUGAAACACAAAGAUUCAUAAAUAUAUGUCUGGGUGUCCCAGUUGGUCAAGGCUAUGGAUUGACCGAGACUUGCGCUGGAGCAGCUUUCUCUGAAUGGGAUGACACAAGUGUGGGUCGUGUUGGUCCACCCCUCCCUUGUUGCUAUGUCAAGCUUAUUUCAUGGGAAGAAGGUGGUUAUAGAAUUUCUGAUUCUCCAAGGCCCCGUGGAGAGGUUGUCAUUGGUGGCCACAGUAUAACAAAAGGUUAUUUCAACAAUGAAGCAAAAACAAACGAGGUGUAUAAGGUGGAUGAGAGGGGAAUACGCUGGUUUUACACUGGAGAUAUUGGCCAGUUCCAUCCUGAUGGAUGCGUUGAGAUCAUCGACAGGAAAAAAGACAUAGUAAAACUUCAACACGGAGAAUAUGUAUCUCUUGGCAAGGUUGAAUCAGCUCUACAGACAAGCAAUUAUGUGGACAACAUCAUGGUCUAUGCUGAUCCAUUUCAUAGUUACUGUGUUGCACUGGUUGUGCCACCACACCAGGCCUUGGAGAAGUGGGCUCAAAAUUCAGGGAUAAGCUACAAAGACAUUGAGGAGCUGUGUCACAAUGAUCAAGCAAUUAAGGAGGUCCAGCAAUCUCUAUCAAAGGCCGCGAAAGCAGCGAGGCUCGAGAAGUUUGAAAUACCAGCUAGGAUCAUUUUGCUGCCUGAACCUUGGACCCCAGAGUCUGGGCUUGUGACCGCUGCGCUUAAGCUGAAGAGGGAGCAGCUGAAGGCCAAAUUUAAAGAUGAUCUGAACAAGCUCUACCAGUAG